UACGCUCAACCGUUUCAGCUCCUCCGGCUGUCGGUGUUGAUCUUCAUGCAGAGCAAAGGCUUGAAUGCUGUAAGCGCUGCUUUGUCCAGCUGCAAAAGAUCCAGCAAAAUCUUCCAGCAGUUAUUAGGAAAGGUGGAAUGGUGGCAAAAUCAGCUCUGGAAUUAAAUCUAGUUCUUCAAGAAUCCUAGCCGAAGCCUGCCAUGCCACCAUGUAAAGUCAAUUUCUGCUUUUUAAGUGUGGGAGUACGGCUCAGCCGAUACCCCAACAGUGUAAUGCAAUGCUUCUUUCACAUGUCAUUGUGCACCUCGCAAUUUUGUUUUGCUUCCUGCGGUCCAUAUCGGUCCUUAUUAGCACCAGAGUUCUGCAAAUUGGUAGUCUUACGAGACAAAUAUUAUCAGAGCAGUUCCUUUACAUGCCACUGUCAUGGCAUGAUGGUGGAAGACACUCAUUUGUUAAUACCACGG
rnacentral:misc_RNA from 1 species